rnacentral:rRNA from 1 species
AUCACUAAGCGGAGGAAAAGAAACUAACUAGGAUUGCCUUAGUAACGGCGAGUGAACCGGCAACAGCCCAAGUUGAAAAUCUGCGCUUUGCGCCGAAUUGUAAUCUAUGGAGUCUUGCCUUACCUGUUGGUUGUAUGCGUAACUCGGAAGGAAAGCCGGGCCGUAGAGGGUGUUAGCCCCGUACCGCGUGCGACCUUGGAUAGGCUGGUCUUUAAGAGUCGGGUAGCUUGGGAUUGCUGCCCUAAGUAGGAGGUAGGCUUCUUCUAAGGCUAAAUACUUGCGAGAGACCGAUAGCGAACAAGUACCGUGAGGGAAAGAUGAAAAGAACUUUGAAAAGAGGGUUAAAAGACUUGAAAUCGUUGAGGAGGAAGCAGUAGGUAGAUAUCAGCGCAACAGUGUAACCAUCUUUACGAAGCUGGGGGAGCUGCGCGCGAGGCAACGUCAUGGGGAUUCGCUGCGUAGUGUUCUCUUUGAGUUCGCGAUCUAGCGAUGAAAACGUGACUUUGUGCGUCUGCCUACUGGCCCGUCUUGAAACACGGACCAAGGAGUCUAACAUGUAUGCGAGUAGAGGAGCGACAAACUCCACUGCGUAACGAAAGUAAUCCUUGCCAAAUUUGCAGCGAGGGCCUCGUCAGAGAGCUCAGCAUGUAUGUUGGGACCCGAAAGAUGGUGAACUAUGCUUGGGGAAGGCGAAGCCAGGGGAAACUCUGGUGGAGGCUUGUAGGGAUACUGACGUGCAAAUCGUUCUUCUAACCUGAGUAUAGGGGCGAAAGACUAAUCGAACCAUCUAGUAGCUGGUUCCCUCCGAAAUUUCCCUCAGGAUAGCUGAAACAUAUAGCAGUUUUAUCGGGUAAAGCGAAUGAUUAGAGGUUCGGGAGUCUAAAAGAUUUUCACCUAUUCUCAAACUUUAAAUUGGUAAGAUAGUUUUCGUUACUUAAGUGAACGAAUUCUUCGAAUGCUUGUUUCUAGUGGGCCAUUUUUGGUAAGCAGAACUGGCGAUGAGGGAUGAACCUAACGUGAAGUUAAGGCGACUAAUUGGUUGCUCAUCAGAUCCCACAAAAGGUGUUAGUUCAUUUAGACAGUAGGACGGUGGCCAUGGAAGUCGGAACCCGCUAAGGAGUGUGUAACAACUCACCUACCGAAUGAACUAGCCCUGAAAAUGGAUGUCGCUAAGCAGCCAGCCGAUACUUCGCUGUUUGUCUAUGCGAAAGAUAAACAAGUAGGAGGGCGUGAGGACCGCUUGGAAGCAUAGGCGUGAGCCUGUGUGGAGCGAUUCUUAGUGCAGAUCUUGGUGGCAGUAGCAAAUAUUCAAAUGAGAACUUUGAAGACUGAAGUGGAGAAGGGUUUCAUGAGAACAGCAAUUGGUCAUGAGUAACUCGGUCCUAAGGCCCUGGGUAGUCCUAUCAAGCCGAAAGGCAGGCCAAAAGGGAAUGUGGUUAAAAUUCCACAAGCAGGCGGUGGAUAUUGUGUGGUAACACAACUGAACUCAAAAACGUCGGAGUGAAGUCCCAGCAAGAGUUCUCUUUUCUUGUUAACAGUUUCGCUGCCCUGGAGGUCUUUGCGACGAGAGAGGGCUAUCGAGCUGGAAGAGCAGUGCACCCUUUGUACUGUCUGGUGAGCUUCCUUCGGCCCUUGAAAAUUUGAGGGAACUUUGUAUCGCACGCCUGGCCGUACCGAAACCGC